UGGGGAAUAUUGGACAAUGGGCGAAAGCCUGAUCCAGCCAUGCCGCGUGUGUGAAGAAGGUCUUCGGAUUGUAAAGCACUUUAAGUUGGGAGGAAGGGCAUUAACCUAAUACGUUAGUGUUUUGACGUUACCGACAGAAUAAGCACCGGCUAACUCUGUGCCAGCAGCCGCGGUAAUACAGAGGGUGCAAGCGUUAAUCGGAAUUACUGGGCGUAAAGCGCGCGUAGGUGGUUUGUUAAGUUGGAUGUGAAAUCCCCGGGCUCAACCUGGGAACUGCAUUCAAAACUGACUGACUAGAGUAUGGUAGAGGGUGUUGGAAUUUCCUGUGUAGCGGUGAAAUGCGUAGAUAUAGGAAGGAACACCAGUGGCGAAGGCGACCACCUGGACUAAUACUGACACUGAGGUGCGAAAGCGUGGGGAGCAAACA
rnacentral:rRNA from 1 species